GCGCCAGUAGCUUAACGGAUAGAGCAUCUGACUACGGAUCAGAAGGUUGGGGGUUCGAAUCCCUCCUGGCGCG
rnacentral:tRNA from 1 species